CAUUUGUUUUAAGUAUAAAAUGACAAAAAAACAUACACGAUAAAAAAAAAGCUGUUUUCUCUCUCAUUUUCAAAAUAUAUGACGUAUCUGAAUCUACAAUUACAUUGAUAAUAACUCCGUACAAGACAAACUUCCACAGUGGGAGCGGCCGUUUUGGUUUUGCUGCAGUUCACCGACUCUCAACCCCGCUGAAUUUAACAAUUUCGUUGAGCAACCCCUGGUGAAUUUAACAACGGUUUGGUGAAUCUGGUACACCGGUGCAUGCAGCGGUGAACUUAACAACGCACCCUUUCAUAACAUGAAACUUUGAAAAUAUUUACUAACGCUACCGGCGUAGUGUCUUCUGGGAAUAGUCGUUUAUCUGGUACACGCGGAAAGGUGUUUCCAAUCAGCAGGAAUGCAGAGGAAAACUACAACUCCCGUCAUACACGCAUGUCAACAACAUGCUGGCUUCGUAUUUAACUUCCUGUCAAGUUUUAACAUUUUUCUUGCUGUUAUGAUGAAUUUUUUUUCUGGUCACUUUCUAAAAUCUCCUUCAGAAAACUGAAUGCGAAAACAGAAUAAUGCAAUUUCCAUUAUUCAACACCACUCAUCAUCAUACUAAAUUGAGGUUUUUCAUGUGACGUUAUCACAGCACGGUGCGGCCACUGGAGGUCAAAAAUGCAUUGGCGGGCAGACAACUUAUAACUAAGAGCGGUCGUUACACUUUUGAUUUUACAAUGCCAGAUGUGUGUUGUGCUGUUGGGUGCACCAACAGAAGAGGAAAACAAUUCAGAGUAUCCUUCUACAGGAUUCCUGCUGAGCCAGACAGGAGGGAAAAGUGGAUUUCAGCCAUUAACAGAGUAGCAAAAACUGAUUCACGGAACCCAAAGUCGAAAACCGACUGGACCAACUCAGUACACACGUUUGUGUAGUGAGCACUUUAUAAAAGGGAAGAAGUCUGAUAACCCCCUGUCCCCUGAUUAUGUGCCGUCUAUCUUCAACCAUACACCUUCUACUAGGAAGAAUAAGAGGGCCAGAGACAUGGAGAGGUUUGAGGGUAGGGAAAUGAAGAGGAGGAGGAAGAGGCGAGAGGAGGAGAGUGAAGCAGUGGCAGGGCUCCUGGAUCUAUCAGCCAGACAGCAGGAGUUACAAGACCCUGUACCUCCUAUGCAAGAAGUAAAGGCGAGGGAGUGUGAAAGUGAACACUGUAGAGACUGUAUUCGAUCUUUAGAAAGCGAGCGUCAGGCCUUGAGAGGAGAAAAUGAUCGUUUAGAAAGCACAAUCAAGUCAUUUUCAUUUGAUGAAACAUCUUUUAAAGAUAAUGAUUUGAAGGUGAGGAAAAUGGCUGGACUACCUUCAUUUGAAUAAUGAAAUGCUGUCUUUCAUUUUAUUUGUUAUUUAAAAGAGCAAUCAUCGAAAACUGCUACAAUCGAAAGACACUUUGAAAUUUUGAGGCGGCACUUUCUCCCUUGCCUUCUCUAAGGAGCUUCCACUGAUCUGAUGGUGCCCGCCUUUUUGUAGUGAAUGCCAUUCACAUUGUGUUUCUUAUUGCCUUCAAUUACUUGAGCUUUUCUACUUAAAUACACAUAAUUAUUUGAUGUAUAGUACUGCUACUGGCUAAUUAAACACCCAACUCUCAAAUAAAUCAUUUUCAGAGAAUACAAUGUUUUUACCCAUUACUCCAAAAUAAAAAUGAGAAAAAUAUAUAAUUAUAAAUGUAUUAUUUGCAUCACAAUGCAAGAUGAUUAUUUUAAUUCCUUAAAGAGUAAGUAGCGGUUUUCUGAAAAAAUAUAUCAUUAUACGCAGCUACAACUGUUUAAAUAAUGGACCUGUAAUAUCCUAGUAACUUUUUACACUUAUAACUAAAGUCUGUUUCAAGGCUCUUUUCAAAUGGCCUCUCUACUGCACUGGGGUUAGAGAUCUGUCCUCUAAAUCACUGCAGGAAGAACGAAUAAAUUUUU